rnacentral:rRNA from 1 species
UACGUAGGGUGCAAGCGUUGUCCGGAAUUAUUGGGCGUAAAGAGCUCGUAGGCGGUCUGCCGCGUCGGCUGUGAAAACCCGGGGCUCAACCCCGGGCCUGCAGUCGAUACGGGCAGACUAGAGUGCGGUAGGGGAGACUGGAAUUCCUGGUGUAGCGGUGAAAUGCGCAGAUAUCGGGAGGAACACCAGUAGCGAAGGCGGCACUCUGGGCCGGUACUGACGCUGAGGAGCGAAAGCGUGGGGAGCGAACAGG